UACGUAGGGCGCAAGCGUUAUCCGGAUUUACUGGGCGUAAAGAGCGCGCAGGCGGUCGCUCAAGUCGCGUGUGAAAGCCCCCGGCUCAACUGGGGAGGGUCACGCGAUACUGAUCGACUCGAAGGCAGGAGAGGGUAGUGGAAUUCCCGGUGUAGUGGUGAAAUGCGUAGAUAUCGGGAGGAACACCAGUGGCGAAGGCGGCUUCCUGGCCUGUUCUUGACGCUGAGGCGCGAAAGCUAGGGGAGCAAACGGG
rnacentral:rRNA from 1 species